CUGCAGUUGCUCUAGAGCGAAAGGCUACAUCAUCUCUGCUGCUAGUUUCUUGUGAUGGAGUAAGAAAAAAACAGUAGCCCUGAGUGACUCUGUGGGAAAUCCUGUGCCCUGUUUAAUGUAUCUCUGGAAGUAUGCAAAACUCAGAGAUGCUGGCUCUUAUACUAUUUCACAGAAAAGGGAAGACUGUGCAGCAGUCCUGUUUGCCAGGCAAUUUUAAGAACAUAAGCAGAAUGCUCCAUUUGUCCUUUUUAUACAGAAAAACCCUCACAUUUAUGAGUGACAUCAUGAUGAAUCACAAUAGCAACCAGAAAUAGAAGAAUUCCUGCUUGUACUACCGCAGCUUUGGGAUGAGUUAAAAACGGACAAACUACUGAACAGUGACUACUGUCAACAGCUGGCUUUUGCCAAAACCUUCACAGAUUCAGAAUGGGAAGUUUACAUCAUUUAAAAAAUCCACAAGUAGCGACAGAUGAAAUUCAACCCCAUCCGCAGCACUGCUUGUCAGCACAGCAGUAUUGGAGACACAUCACAUCAACACAAAACAAUGACAUGCAUAUGUGCCCGUAGACCUCACCACCCCAUCACCAUCCCCCAUGCUGAAGUCUCAGUUGUACAGACAGCAAAAUACAGCCAUACCUGGAGGCAGGAACAAGGUGAAGAGCCCGUGGUAGCUGUGUUGGCUUCACUGCCAUUGUUACCAUUUGUUGAUCAUUAUUUGUCAAGAUUUAUGUCUGUUUAGAACAAAACAAGCAUUGAAAGUUUUGAAGGGUUGCUUAAUGGAGAGAACAAGUUUCAACUUUAUUCCCUGCUUUCAUGCAAUCAGAGGUUAUGUUUAUUUAGAAAGCUAACAUUUAUACAGAUUAUGCACUUUCAGUGCUUCCAUGCCAAAAAAUACAUGACUAAAAUGGGUCUUUCCAUCACUCUUUCAGUUUUUGACCUAUGAUUGUUUUUACAGGAACUGGAUCUUUUAAGCAAUAGCCUCUGGUAGAGUAAGAGGAAAGCACAGCACCUUGUGCAAUAAUUUGCAAAAAGUGGCUUAGGCUAAAGGUUUUAAGCAAAAUGCAUUUGAAUCACUCAGCUUUCCAGACUACCCCAAACACUGUUUGAUUAGGAUAAUUGCCAGGGCGAGUAGGAAGGGUCACCAAGCAAAGCUAGGUGGUAGUGGAGGUCAUCAGUUAAGGAAGUAUAACUUUGAAGCAGUGUGAAACUUUUUAUUUAUUAAUCCUCCCAAUAAACUUUUCAAAGUCUUAAAAACAGUGAAGUGAGAAUUAUUACAGAUUGAGAAUUGAGCUCCCAAAUCAGUGAAUAAUUAUUCAAGCUGUAAAUAUGCUUUGUUGCAUGUGCUGUUGAUUAUUCUGCUCUUGACAACAUUUAAAAUGUUGCUGUUUUGUAAGUAAGAAAGAAAUGUUUGUGUCAUGUUUGUAUGG